ACUACGGAGAGUUUGAUCCUGGCUCAGAACGAACGCUGGCGGCGUGGAUGAGGCAUGCAAGUCGAUCGAGAAUCCUGGAGUAGCAAUACAACGGGAAGAAAGAGGCGAACGGGUGAGUAAUGUAUGGGCAACCUGCCCUUUAGUCUGGGACAACCUGCCGAAAGGCGGACUAAUACCGGAUGUGAUAGCACAGCACAUGCUGUGUGAUUCAAAGGUGGGGAUCGCAAGACCUAUCGCUAAAGGAUGGGCCCAUAUUCCAUCAGCUUGUUGGUGAGGUAACGGCUCACCAAGGCUUACGGAUAGCUGGUCUGAGAGGAUGGUCAGCCACACUGGGACUGAGACACUGCCCAGACUCCUACGGGAGGCUGCAGUCGAGGAUCUUGGACAAUGCGCGAAAGCGUGAUCCAGCGACGCCGCGUGCAGGAUGACGGCCUUCGGGUUGUAAACUGCUUUUUUGAGGGAUCAAUUGAACGGCGCUAACACCGCCGUGAGAGGAUAGUACCUUAAGAAUAAGAGACGGCUAACUCUGUGCCAGCAGCCGCGGUAAUACAGAGGUCUCAAGCGUUGUUCGGAUUUACUGGGCGUAAAGGGUGCGUAGGCGGUAUUGUGUGUCGGAUGUGAAAUCUCCCGGCUUAACUGGGAGGCAGCAUCUGAAACUACGAUACUAGAGUUCGGGAGAGGAAAGUGGAAUUCUUGGUGUAGCAGUGAAAUGCGUAGAUAUCAAGAGGAACACCCGUGGCGAAGGCGACUUUCUGGACCGAUACUGACGCUGAGGCACGAAGGUCAGGGGAGCAAACAGGAUUAGAUACCCUGGUAGUCCUGACAGUAAACGUUGCGCACUUGGUGUGGGAGGAGUUAACCCCUUCCGUGCCGGAGUUAACGCGUUAAGUGCGCCGCCUGGGGAGUACGGCCGCAAGGCUAAAACUCAAAGGAAUUGACGGGGGCCCGCACAAGCGGUGGAGCAUGUGGCUUAAUUCGAUGCAACGCGAAGAACCUUACCUAGGCUUGACAUGCAGAGUUCAACCGGCGAAAGCCGGCGGCCCCGCAAGGGGCGAUCUGCACAGGUGCUGCAUGGCUGUCGUCAGCUCGUGCCGUGAGGUGUUGGGUUAAGUCCCGCAACGAGCGCAACCCCUGUGACUAUUUGCCACUCCGCAAGGAAGCACUCUAGUCAGACUGCCUGUGAUAAGCAGGAGGAAGGUGGGGAUGACGUCAAGUCAGUAUGGCCUUUAUGCUUAGGGCUGCACACGUGCUACAAUGAAUGGUACAGAAGGAUGCAAGACCGCGAGGUGGAGCAAAUCCCCAAAACCAUUCUCAGUUCAGAUUGGAGUCUGCAACUCGACUCCAUGAAGCUGGAAUCGCUAGUAAUGGCGCAUCAGCUACGGCGCCGUGAAUACGUUCCCGGGCCUUGUACACACCGCCCGUCACAUCAUGGGAGCCGUCUGCACCCGAUGUCACUGAUGCAACCCGCAAGGGAGCCAGGUGCCUAAGGUGUGGGUGGUGACUGGGAUGAAGUCGUAACAAGGUAGCCGUUGGGGAACCAGCGGCUGGAUCACCUCCUUU
rnacentral:rRNA from 1 species